rnacentral:rRNA from 1 species
AUGACUACUAUCCCAGAUACGUCGUGGUAUGGAAUUCUUUGGACUACAAGAUCAAACCAAAUAGUAGAACAGGGUCUCAUAAAUAAUGUUCAACAAAUUGGAAUUCAUUUAGCAACCGAUUUUUAUCUUCCGUUUGAACUCAUUUCCAUAAUUCUUCUAGUUUCUUUAAUAGGUGCAAUUACUAUGGCUCGGCAAUAA